rnacentral:lncRNA from 1 species
CUGGAAGACCCAGAAAAAAUAUUUCUAAGACCUGGGCCUGAAUGGAUUUAGACCAUUUCUCCCACAACUCAUUGGCUUGAGCUCAGUCACUUGGCUCCAUCAACGUGAAAACAAGGCUGGACAACAAGUCAUCUUCUGUGGCUAGAAGGAAGAAUUGAGUUACCUGCGGUCAACCUCUGUCCGGAAGCAGACGAUCCUCCUUGUGAUGAAUUGUCAGAAGGUCACUAGUAGCCUAACAAUACAUCACAACGCCUACGUCAUUCACCUCACUUCAUCUCAACAUGCAAGCGUUUUAUCAUCUCACAUCAUCACAAGAGGAAAAAGAGCUAAGACUCACUUUUGGUUGGUCAAGGAUGAUCAGCUGAACACACGGUAAAUCUGGAGUGGUAGAGUGAGGAUUCCCAGGCAAGUAGCUUCACAUGGAGAAAAACCUACAUUUCAUCAGCACAGAAUGCAUGAACCUCUAGUCAAGGUGAGUCCUCCGUAGAUCUCUCUGAAUAUACUUGUUUGAGGGGGAGGUGAUGGCUCCAUCCAAACCCACUCACACUGUUGGUAGAGUGACUGCUUGUUGGUAGGAGUAGGGGAGAAAUCCAAUUUAUUA